rnacentral:rRNA from 1 species
UAGGGAAUCUUCCGCAAUGGACGAAAGUCUGACGGAGCAACGCCGCGUGAGUGAAGAAGGAUUUCGGUUCGUAAAACUCUGUUGUUAGGGAAGAAAAAAUGUAUAGUAACUAUAUACAAAAGAGACGGUACCUAACCAGAAAGCCACGGCUAACUACGUGCCAGCAGCCGCGGUAAUACGUAGGUGGCAAGCGUUGUCCGGAAUUAUUGGGCGUAAAGCGCGCGCAGGUGGUUUAGAAAGUCUGAUGUGAAAGCCCACGGCUCAACCGUGGAGGGUCAUUGGAAACUAAUAAACUUGAGUGCAGUAGAGAAAAGUGGAAUUCCCAGUGUAGCGGUGAAAUGCGUAGAUAUUGGGAGGAACACCAGUAGCGAAGGCGGCUUUCUGGACUGCAACUGACACUGAGGCACGAAAGCGUGGGUAGCAAACAGG